CUGGCAACUAAUUGUGCCUAGUUGAAUUGUUAAAUUACUCAAUUCGUCAAUGCAGAAGUUGGUUUUAGUUUUAAUUGUUUCUUGUUAUGUGUUGCAUAUGUGAUUUCUAUUCUAGAAUCGGUUACACUACGUUCCUGACAAAAUUCAGUCACUUCAUUCUGAAAUGGCGAAACUCUCGAUGCUGGCAGAAAAUGUUGAGAAGAAAAAGGUAGAACGUGUAGAUUCGGGCAGAAAACAAUAGGACAGGAAGCGACUGUGAGUAACAGUGAACAUGCUUUCUGUUAUUUUAUUACCACUGAUCGCAAGAUCUAACAAUGGAAAGAGCAACCAUUCGAAUUCAGGGAAUUAAUUUUGAAGCCAGAAUAUUUACGAGGAGAGAUUUUUAAGUCUGUCUCAUUCGUUACGAAUCAAAUUGUGACGUGUUUAAAUUAAUGAUACUAUCAAGAAAGUAUCUUCUAUGAAACUUGAAAGAUAUUUCUUCCCACUCCUCUUCUGAUGAGUUCUAGAUCGUUUUAAACACGAGAUAGUAGUGGGCUUAAGCAAGCGACGUUUUUGUCAUGCAGAUUACGGGGGGGGGGGCUAAAAACUGUAUUUGUGUCAGUUUGUGGUAAUUUUCAACACAUGCAUACGACAAAACCAGGGCGUAACUACAGGGGGAUUUGGGGAGGGGGGACACCCCCAAUAUUGUAUUAUUGCAGUUUCGUCGGGCAAGUUUAACAAUUUUAACAAUUAAAAAACAUGUAUUUGAGCAAACAAUUGUACAUAAUUUAUUGAAAAGUAAUAGUUGUAGGGAAAAUUUUGAUAAAUUUACGAACAUAUUAUUGAAAAAUUGUACAAAUUACGGUACAUUAGUGACGUCCGUGUUGACAAAAACGGCGCUUGCAAAUAACCAAAUUCUUUGUAUAGACUAUAGGCAAUAUUUUUUUUAUUCUUAUACCAAUGAUAUGCAGAAACUUUAAGAAUCUCUUCUAACAUGUCACUGUAGAUGUGCGGUGGUCAGACCAUUGACUUCAUUGUCACUAUUCAGUCGUAGCUUUGAGAUCGGUGGAUGUUACCAAUGUCAGAGGAUAAUAGACAACUUGCAUGUUAGAUUAAUUUUUGAUUUAGACAAAAAAAAGUAAAUUCCCGUAAAGAACUUAUCAAAAUCAGUAAAAUUGCAAAAUUUGGUUACAAAAUGUUGUAAAAUACAGAAAAUAUAGCCUUGCGAAGUUUGCAUAUUUUCAGUAUGUUUGUAUUACGUUCGGAAAUUGUUACCAUUUUUGAGCCGAAAAUGGUAGCAAUUUCCGCACGUAAUACAAAUAUACUGAAAAUAUGCAAACUUCGCAAGGCUAUAUUUUCCGUAUUUUACAACAUUUCGCAACCAAAUUUCGCAAUUUUACUAAUUUCAUUAUGUUCUUUUUAACUGUGGUGUUUGAUUCCCUUCUCUUUACUUAGAUUAAAAUUUAGUCUAACAUGCAAGUUGUCAAUUGGAGAGUGUAAGAAUUUUUGUUCAUUACCAGCAUACACGCGUAAAUAUCUCACAGCUUGUGAACAAGAUGUGUUCGCAAUGCUUGUUACAAGUUGUUGACAACUCUGGAACAAGUUGUUGUCAUCUUGUUACAAGGUUGAUGUGGCCAACAGACUCGCACAAAAGUUGUUCCAACAAGACUGGUAUAUAGUCUGUACGUGACAAAUUGUUAACAAGUUGAUAAUAACGUUGUAACAAGAUGAUAACAGCUAGUUCCCAGGCUUGAUAACAACCUGUUAGAACCUUUUUGCAGAUCUGGAACAACUUAUGCGUUUUUACUUGUGUAAGGUGCAAAUUCUUUGUGAAAUGCGUGGAUAAUGCACCAUUUCGAUGCAUGGGCGGAUCUAACCUCAUGUGCAAGGAGGUGUGCAGGUUUUCCAUGGGGGUGGAGCAUAAGGGAGCCUUGCUGCCUACUCUCCUCUGCAGUCUGCAACGCUACUAUCCCAACAUUACCAUUAUUUGAGAUGGCCGAAUCUGCAUGUUCAACGUUCUGUUACGUUUUACAUUAUCUUUUGUUUAUAAAGUUUAUAUUGGUUUUUUAUCACUUAUGCUUGCCUGGACAGUUGUUGUAGCACAGUACAGUAAGGGGCUGAUUACAUGGACCGGGCCAGCCCGGUUAACCGGGCUGAAAAAUGUCACGAAAAUCUUCCUUGGGCCGCAAAAUGAGUUUUGAAUCAGGUUUAGGAUGAUUUUGCAUCUAUAAUGAACCAACUACGACACAAACUGAAUACUUUCCCAAUAAAAAUGCUCAUAUGACAUAUAUACCAAACUCCCUGCCUCGUACCCAGGCGCUUUAAAUAAUUAUAAUACAUGAAGCAUUCAGGCUCGUACCCAGGCGCUUUAAAAUAAUUAUAAUACAUGAGGCAGGCAGGCACGCACGAAGGGGCUGCUGGGAAGGGACUUCUUGUAAACUCGUCAUAUGCGUAUCGCUGUUUUUUUUACAAAGAGUUGGGUGACUAUCUCGAGGCAGCCAAGAUCCAGUAUGCUCACGAGCAUGCUCAAUUUACUCAAAUCCAGUAUACUCAUGUCAAGCCUAUUACCCCAUAUUUCAAACAUCAUUAAUAAUUCAUAAGCUUAUUGGCAAAUCAUGUAAACUAUAACAUGUCACGUGCAGUGGCUUUAAACCUGAUAAAACACUCCUAAUUAGUAUUCUUUAUAUAAAGAAUACUAAUAAGGCAGUAUCUAUUGUUGUCG
rnacentral:lncRNA from 1 species